UUUCACAAGUCAGACCUCUAU
rnacentral:misc_RNA from 1 species